CCUACGGGUGGCAGCAGUCGAGAAUCAUUCACAAUGGGGGAAACCCUGAUGGUGCGACGCCGCGUGGGGGAAUGAAGGUCUUCGGAUUGUAAACCCCUGUCAUGUGGGAGCAAAUUAAAAAGAUAGUACCACAAGAGGAAGAGACGGCUAACUCUGUGCCAGCAGCCGCGGGAAUACAGAGGUCUCAAGCGUUGUUCGGAAUCACUGGGCGUAAAGCGUGCGGAGGCUGUUUCGUAAGUCGUGUGUGAAAGGCGCGGGCUCAACCCGCGGACGGCAGAUGAUACUGGGAGACUAGAGUAAUGGAGGGGGAACCGGAAUUCUCGGUGUAGCAGUGAAAUGCGUAGAUAUCGAGAGGAACACUCGUGGCGAAGGCGGGUUCCUGGACAUUAACUGACGCUGAGGCACGAAGGCCAGGGGAGCGAAAGGGAUUAGAUACCCCAGUAGUC
rnacentral:rRNA from 1 species